rnacentral:rRNA from 1 species
UACGUAGGGUGCAAGCGUUGUCCGGAAUUAUUGGGCGUAAAGAGCUCGUAGGCGGUCUGUCGCGUCUGCUGUGAAAAAUCCAGGGCUCAACCCUGGACCUGCAGUGGGUACGGGCAGACUAGAGUGGCGGUAGGGGAGAUCGGAAUUCCUGGUGUAGCGGUGAAAUGCGCAGAUAUCAGGAGGAACACCGGUGGCGAAGGCGGACUCUGGGCCGUAACUGACGCUGAGGAGCGAAAGCGUGGGGAGCGAACAGG